CAUCCGGUUGUUUCCAACUCCGCUAAGGGUGGUCCUGAUGCUGGAAGAGGUAUUUUGCCAUUGGCUGCUUUCUGUCGAGACAUUCUUUUAAAUUUACACCUUGUUGCCAGGAAGUCGGCAUCGGUCUGAACUGUUAAUGCAGGUCAUUAAACUUUAGAAACAACUUUUGGCCAUGACUCUGAUCAGAAGUAGUGCACUAUGUAGGGUAAAUACUGCCAUUUAGGACACAGCCUGUGACUGAGUCAGAUGCCUUCAAUUGGUCUGAAACACCACAGUCCCAUUUGUAUAUGGUUGUGUGGUUAAAUAAUCAAUUGACGGUGCGGUGGUGUGAGAGGUAGAGCCUGGGUAUUGACUGUGUGAGAGGUAGAGCCUGGGUAUUGACGGUGCGGUGGUGUGAGAGGUAGAGCCUGGGUAUUGACGGUGCGGUGGUGUGAGAGGUAGAGCCUGGGUAUUGACGGUGCGGUGGUGUGAGAGGUAGAGCCUGGGUAUUGACGGUGCGGUGGUGUGAGAGGUAGAGCCUGGGUAUUGACGGUGCGGUGGUGUGAGAGGUAGAGCCUGGGUAUUGACGGUGCGGUGGUGUGAGAGGUAGAGCCUGGGUAUUGACGGUGCGGUGGUGUGAGAGGUAGGUAGAGCCUGGGUAUUGACUGUGUGAGAGGUAGAGCCUGGGUAUUGACUGUGUGAGAGGUAGAGCCUGGGUAUUGACUGUGUGAGAGGUAGAGCCUGGGUAUUGACUGUGUGAGAGGUAGAGCCUGGGUAUUGACUGUGUGAGAGGUAGAGCCUGGGUAUUGACUGUGUGAGAGGUAGAGCCCGGGUAUAGCAAUUUGCCAUCUGAUGAGCACUCAUGUAUUCUUAUGCCUCUCUGCCCGACUGGCCCUGGUUCUCCAGUCAGAAGGCAUUUCUCCUAAUGGUGCUUCAACAUGCUCCUCAUAAUGGUUCAUUAGUUGUGAGUCACAAUCACUGCAGCUCCCAAUUUAUCUGCUCCCUUUAUCCCUCCUGAUCAGGAGAAAGAGGAAGCCAAUGGGAGGAGAGAAAAAGUUGGAGAACAGCUUUAUAGUUGAUGAGAUGGAUGGGUAGGUUUUUGCAUCUGUUCUUUAAAAUAUAAAAUGUAACCUAGUUUAUUUUGUGGCUGUGCAGACAGUUCAUGUGAAAUAGUCUGAUACUACUCUGAGCAUACGGUGAUAAUAUGGCAGUGGAUGGCUAAGUGCAUCACUGCUGCCUUCCUAAAACCAAGUCAUUUAGCCAUGGAUCCAGAAAUGCCUGGGCUUUUUUUGUGCCAGUGGUAUUAACAGUGCUUCUUGAGUAUGUUGUGUUACAGUGCAAAGGGUUGUCAGGUUGGAACUUCCUCUCUGUCACAACUACAGGGGGGGAUGUUAGAAGGUCGGAGUGUUGGAAGAUUGGAAUGGAGGGUUGGAAUGGAUCUGACGGGAAGGUUGGGAUGUUGGAAGGUUAGAAUGUUGGGAUGUUAGAAGGUUGAAAUGGAAGGUUUGAGUGGAACUGAAGGUUGGAAUGAAACUGACUGGAAGGUUGGAAUGGAACUGACCGGAAGGUUUGAAGGUUGGGAUGAUGGGAGGUUGGAAUGGAAGGUUUGAAUGGAACUAACAGCUGGAAGGUGCUGUAUAUUGGUACCAUUAGACUUCCAGGUGAGGGGAUUUUAGGAAACAUACUGUA